rnacentral:rRNA from 1 species
UAAAGUAGCUCUGCCCUAUGAUUGAUUUUAAUGGCUGCAGUAUCCUGACUGUGCAAAGGUAGCAUAAUCAAUAGUUUUUUAAUUGGAAGCUGGUAUGAAUGAAUUAAUGAAAGAUUAAUUUUAUUAUUUUUAUAAUUAAAAUUUAAUUUUUAGGUUAAAAAGCUUAAAAGCUUAUUUGGGACGAAAAGACCCUACAGAACUUUAAAUGAUCAAAUUUAAUUCUAAUUUUUAGUUAAUUUAGUUUUAUUAUUUUUUUUUUUUUUUUGUUGGGGUGACAAGUAAAUAUUAACUUUACUUACUUAAUUCACUGAUUUGUGUUUUGUUGAUCUUGUUAAGAAUUAAAAGAUUAAGUUACCUUAGGGAUAACAGCGUAAUUUUAAUGGAAAGUUCUUAUUGAUAUUAAAGUUUGCGACCUCGAUGUUGAAUUAAGAUUAGGUUAAGGGGGGGGUUUUUUAAACCCCGGACCCGGUCCAAUUUUAAAUUUUUACAUGAUCUG